CUCAGGCCACCGGCUCCAGGCGGAAGCGAGCCCACAGCCGACCAGGCAGCAGCAUCCGCUACCCCGUGGCUCAAGCCAGGCUCCGAGUUGUUCUGCCAAGAAAAGGCCUGAAUCGGGGUGACGGAAGCUGUAAGGAGACAAGCUUUGGAAUGAGUUUUAACAAUCAAGUUGCCUUAAUUCCGUCGUUGGGAGACUUGUUUUUAAUCGAGCAGCAAAUAGCAAAAGGAACAAGACUCCCAGCCUCAAGGAUCACUUGAGGCCAGCAGUUCAAGACCAGCCUGGGCAACAUAGUGAGACCCC